GGGAUUGUAGUAUAGUGGUCAGUACUUCUCGUUGUGGUUUCAGUUCACUUUGUGACAAACAGAACGAUCCGAGAGGACCCAGGUUCGAUUCCUGGCAAUCCCA